GACGAACGCUGGCGGCGUGCUUAACACAUGCAAGUCGAACGAAGAGCGACGGAAGCUUGCUUCUAUCAAUCUUAGUGGCGAACGGGUGAGUAACGCGUAAUCAACCUGCCCUUCAGAGGGGGACAACAGUUGGAAACGACUGCUAAUACCGCAUACGAUCUAAUCUCGGCAUCGAGGAUGGAUGAAAGGUGGCCUCUACAUGUAAGCUAUCACUGAAGGAGGGGAUUGCGUCUGAUUAGCUAGUUGGAGGGGUAACGGCCCACCAAGGCGAUGAUCAGUAGCCGGUCUGAGAGGAUGAACGGCCACAUUGGGACUGAGACACGGCCAGACUCCUACGGGAGGCAGCAGUGGGGAAUCUUCCGCAAUGGACGAAAGUCUGACGGAGCAACGCCGCGUGAGUGAUGACGGCCUUCGGGUUGUAAAGCUCUGUUAAUCGGGACGAAAGGCCUUCUUGCGAAUAGUGAGAAGGAUUGACGGUACCGGAAUAGAAAGCCACGGCUAACUACGUG
rnacentral:rRNA from 1 species